rnacentral:rRNA from 1 species
GAGUUUGAUCGUGGCUCAGAUUGAACGCUGGCGGCAUGCCUUACACAUGCAAGUCGAACGGCAGCACGGGAGCUUGCUCCUGGUGGCGAGUGGCGAACGGGUGAGUAAUGCAUCGGAACGUAUCCUGGGGUGGGGGAUAACGUAGCGAAAGUUACGCUAAUACCGCAUAUUCUGUGAGCAGGAAAGCGGGGGACCUUCGGGCCUCGCGCUCUUGGAGCGGCCGAUGUCGGAUUAGCUAGUUGGUGAGGUAAAGGCUCACCAAGGCGACGAUCCGUAGCAGGUCUGAGAGGAUGAUCC